rnacentral:rRNA from 1 species
ACGAACGCUGGCGGCGUGGAUAAGACAUGCAAGUCGAACGAGAGAAUUGCUAGCUUGCUAAUAAUUCUCUAGUGGCGCACGGGUGAGUAACACGUGAGUAACCUGCCCCCGAGAGCGGGAUAGCCCUGGGAAACUGGGAUUAAUACCGCAUAGUAUCGAAAGAUUAAAGCAGCAAUGCGCUUGGGGAUGGGCUCGCGGCCUAUUAGUUAGUUGGUGAGGUAACGGCUCACCAAGGCGAUGACGGGUAGCCGGUCUGAGAGGAUGUCCGGCCACACUGGAACUGAGACACGGUCCAGACACCUACGGGUGGCAGCAGUCGAGAAUCAUUCACAAUGGGGGAAACCCUGAUGGUGCGACGCCGCGUGGGGGAAUGAAGGUCUUCGGAUUGUAAACCCCUGUCAUGUGGGAGCAAAUUAAAAAGAUAGUACCACAAGAGGAAGAGACGGCUAACUCUGUGCCAGCAGCCGCGGUAAUACAGAGGUCUCAAGCGUUGUUCGGAAUCACUGGGCGUAAAGCGUGCGUAGGCUGUUUCGUAAGUCGUGUGUGAAAGGCGCGGGCUCAACCCGCGGACGGCACAUGAUACUGCGAGACUAGAGUAAUGGAGGGGGAACCGGAAUUCUCGGUGUAGCAGUGAAAUGCGUAGAUAUCGAGAGGAACACUCGUGGCGAAGGCGGGUUCCUGGACAUUAACUGACGCUGAGGCACGAAGGCCAGGGGAGCGAAAGGGAUUAGAUACCCCUGUAGUCCUGGCAGUAAACGGUGCACGCUUGGUGUGCGGGGAAUCGACCCCCUGCGUGCCGGAGCUAACGCGUUAAGCGUGCCGCCUGGGGAGUACGGUCGCAAGAUUAAAACUCAAAGAAAUUGACGGGGACCCGCACAAGCGGUGGAGUAUGUGGCUUAAUUCGAUGCAACGCGAAGAACCUUACCUGGGCUUGACAUGUAAUGAACAACAUGUGAAAGCAUGCGACUCUUCGGAGGCGUUACACAGGUGCUGCAUGGCCGUCGUCAGCUCGUGUCGUGAGAUGUUUGGUUAAGUCCAGCAACGAGCGCAACCCCUGUUGCCAGUUACCAGCACGUGAAGGUGGGGACUCUGGCGAGACUGCCCAGAUCAACUGGGAGGAAGGUGGGGACGACGUCAGGUCAGUAUGGCCCUUAUGCCCAGGGCUGCACACGUACUACAAUGCCCAGUACAGAGGGGGCCGAAGCCGCGAGGCGGAGGAAAUCCUAAAAACUGGGCCCAGUUCGGACUGUAGGCUGCAACCCGCCUACACGAAGCCGGAAUCGCUAGUAAUGGCGCAUCAGCUACGGCGCCGUGAAUACGUUCCCGGGUCUUGUACACACCGCCCGUCACACCAUGAGAGUUGGGGAUACCCGAAGCCUGUGAGCCAACAGUUAAAUGGGGCAGCAGUCGAAGGUAGAAUCAAUGAUUGGGGUG